rnacentral:rRNA from 1 species
CAGGACGAACGCUGGCGGCGUGCCUAAUACAUGCAAGUCGAACGGUCUUUUCUAUGGAAGCUUGCUUCCACUGAGAAGAUAGUGGCGAACGGGUGAGUAACACGUGGGUAACCUGCCCAUAAGAGGGGGAUAACAUCCGGAAACGGGUGCUAAUACCGCAUAGUUUUCUUGAUCGCAUGAUCGGGAAAGGAAAGACGGCCUUUGUGCUGUCGCUUAUGGAUGGACCCGCGGCGUAUUAGUUAGUCGGUGAGGUAACGGCUCACCAAGACGAUGAUACGUAGCCGACCUGAGAGGUGAUCGGCCACAUUGGGACUGAGACACGGCCCAAACUCCUACGGGAGGCAGCAGUAGGGAAUCUUCCGCAAUGGACGAAAGUCUGACGGAGCAACGCCGCGUGAGUGAAAGAAGGUUUUCGGAUCGUAAAACUCUGUUGUCAGAGAAGAACAAGUUGGAGAGUAACUGCUCCAGCCUUGACGGUAUCUGACCAGAAAGCCACGGCUAACUACGUGCCAGCCGCCGC